AAGUGUUGAACUUGAUAACGUCAUCCCUUCAUAACCCAGAUUAACAUAUCAGAACUGAAAUGCCAGACCUUAAAAGCAAGACAGCUCCUUUGGAACCGACAGCAAGAUCUGGCAGUUGGUCUUUACUAAGGUCCAGAGCAGAUGGACUCAGAGAAAUACCAAAAAAUUGCAGUCCAUUGCGCACAGACGAGCCUGUUAUCCUCUGGGAGAAGGUUGGGGCAAUGUCUUCAUUUCUCCCAUUAAAGAUGUAGAUGCUGCCCUGGUAAUUCUCUUCUAGAGGUGCUCCUACCACUACAUCCACCAGGCUGUCUUCAUUUAGAUCUGCAGGGCUCGCCAGCGUCAG